rnacentral:rRNA from 1 species
AUGUGCUUCGUCGACGGCCAAACAACCAGAGCCGGGUGCAAGCGGCCGCUCAUGCUGGCUGUGCGCGAGCACGAGCACCACCGUGCCGCUGCAGAACGGGCCAAGCGGACUAACAUGUCAGCGGUUGCCGGCGCCCUAGUCAUGUACGUGGCGCCGGCGCCGCCCGGCCAGGACGAACCCGUAAAUGCUGUCCCGCUGGCCGCCGCCUCUCCGAGAAGGAGCAGGGAGGCGCCGGACUGGAUACCCAAGGUCCUUCUCCCGCAACUGAGACUGUGCGCUGACUUAACCGUGACCUUCAUCGACGAGAAGGCCGUGACGAAGAGCGACCUUGACCCUCAGCAGAACCGGUUACGCCUCCGGACCGACGGCGUGCGCCGGCUACUCCCACUCCUCACUGACGACGAGGCCGCGGCCGCCAACCUACUAUACGACCAACCACGCGUUCGAAGGGCAAGUCCGAUGACACCGCCAGAGGACGACGACGCGGUGCAGGGGAGGAAGGGAAUGAAGAGGCUGGGGAGGAAGCACGGCGGGCUGCCCAUGCACGUGGUGGCCAGCAGCAACCUGAGCAUCGAGAUCAAGCAGCUGGAGCUGUCGAGGUGGGACGGCAGCCAGGGCACGGUCAUCAAGGGAGCAGGGUACCACGACUUCAUCGGCAAGUGCGGCUUCAGGGAGGAUGACCUCGUCGAGAUAUGGGCAUUCAAGCAGAGGGAGUUCCGGAACUUUGGGGUGAAUAUGUGCGAUGAGAGCCCGCUCUAUAUCGUGCUAGUCAACAAACAAACACGGCGAGCGGCGGCGGCCCGUGGUGUCGCCGUUGCCGGCCCCGCCGCGUGA